CCUAAUCAUCAGGUAUGAAGAGAUUCAUUUGCCACGAUUUUCAUUAAAGCAAGGGAUGAUCCCAAGACGUUAUGUUAUGCCUUGGAAAGAAAACAUGAUAUUCAGGAAUGUGAAUCUGAAGCAAGCAGAAGUGUGUGGGAUCCAUACUGGCCCUUUAGAAGACUCUCUGUUUUUGAAUCACAGUGAAAGGCUUUGCCAUGGGGAAGAUCGUAAAGUUGUCUUCCAAAAAGGCCCACCAGAAAUAAAAAUUGCAGAUAUGCCUUUGCAUUCGCCUCUCUCCAGAUACCAAAGCACUGUGAUUUCCCAUGGCUUCAGGAGGCGACUAGUCUGAU
rnacentral:sRNA from 1 species